rnacentral:sRNA from 1 species
CCCGGCAAUGAAUUGCCGGGCUAUUGUCAUAAAUCCCUACGGGAUU